rnacentral:rRNA from 1 species
UACGAAGGGGGCUAGCGUUGUUCGGAUUUACUGGGCGUAAAGCGCACGUAGGCGGAUCGUUAAGUCAGGGGUGAAAUCCUGGAGCUCAACUCCAGAACUGCCUUUGAUACUGGCGAUCUUGAGUCCGGAAGAGGUGAGUGGAACUCCUAGUGUAGAGGUGGAAUUCGUAGAUAUUAGGAAGAACACCAGUGGCGAAGGCGGCUCACUGGUCCGGUACUGACGCUGAGGUGCGAAAGCGUGGGGGAGCAAACAGG